UACGGGGGGGGCAAGCGUUGUUCGGAAUUACUGGGCGUAAAGGGCUCGUAGGCGGCCAACUAAGUCAGACGUGAAAUCCCUCGGCUUAACCGGGGAACGGCCUCUGAUACUGGCUGGCUGGAGUUCGGGAGAGGGAUGCGGAAUUCCAGGUGUAGCGGUGAAAUGCGUAGAUAUCUGGAGGAACACCGGUGGCGAAGGCGGCAUCCUGGACCAACACUGACGCUGAGUGAGCGAAAGCCAGGGGAGCAAACGGG
rnacentral:rRNA from 1 species